ACGGAGGGUGCGAGCGUUGUCCGGAAUCACUGGGCGUAAAGGGCGCGUAGGCGGCCGAGCAAGGUCGCGGUGAAAGCCCGGGGCUCAACCCCGGGUCGGCCGUGGCAACUACUCGGCUUGAGCACUGUAGGGGCGGGUGGAAUUCCGGGUGUAGCGGUGGAAUGCGUAGAGAUCCGGAGGAAGACCGGUGGCGAAGGCGGUCUGCUGGGCAGUUUCUGACACUGAGGUGCGACAGCGUGGGGAGCAAACAGGA
rnacentral:rRNA from 1 species